rnacentral:lncRNA from 1 species
CAAUGCUAGCCAUUUAAAGUGGGUUUAAUUUUCUUGAGUAAACUGCUUUUAAUAAUGCUCCCAUACGUUUCCUUCCUCUGUUGCCAGGUUGCUAUUAAAAUCAUAGAUAAGAGCCAGCUGGAUGAAGAAAACUUGAAGAAGAUUUUCCGGGAGGUUCAGAUAAUGAAGAUGCUUUGCCAUCCACACAUCAUCAGACUCUACCAGGUAGGAGGGCCGGGAGUCCUGCACAGCCUACAGGAAAGGCUGCCUCUGGGAAGAUGUGGGUGCGCGGAGUGAAGGGCUGCCAUCCGAGCACUGCCCCACCCUUCUUCCCUGCUCCCUGGGACCUCCACCCAUGUCCUUUGAUUCUCCCAAGCAACACACAGACCGAGUCUAAGGCUAAAAGUUUCCUUCUGUGGAUCAGAGUUCCUCAGCAUUGUGGAAACCGCAAAGGAACAGAGACUGUGUUAUCACCUCAUGUGAUUAUUUAGAUAUCACAUGAGUUUAAACUAUGAAUUACGGGUGUCGCUGGGUAGUGGUGUUGCACGCCUUUAAUCCCAGCACUCUGGAGGCAGAGACAGACGGAUUUCUGAGUUUGAGGCCAGCCUGGUCUACAGUAGAGUGAGUUCCAGGACAGCCAGGGCUACACAGAGAAGCUGGAGAAAAAAACAGAAGAAGAAGGAGUUCUUGCCCGAGUCAGCCCUUACCCUCUUGUCUUUUCUAGAUGAGCCAGGGCUUAGUUCUCCAGUUGCUAUCUCUAUCAGAAUAUAGGUUAAACCCCGUAUCAUGAAAGCAAUUUCUGUGGUAGUUUUUUUAACCUUCCUACGAAGCAAGCCUUGCUUUGCACCACCAGCAAAACGCUACGGCACAAGUAGUGCAUCUCUUGGAUGGAAUUUCAGACUGACCAGAAGGAUGAACCUCGCCUUAGCAGGCUGGUGGAAGAGAUAUUUUGGGGAGAGGUGGGGUUCCUCAGAUUGCAGGGUGCUGAGUGUGUUCAUCCAGCCUGCUCCCAGCUCUGCAGCAGUAGUCCUCUCCAGAGUUGAGGGAAGUGUGCUCACUGCUGUGAGUCAGCAGGGGACGUCUCCUGACCCAGGUAUGUGUGAGGCUGAAGAAGCAGGCCGCCACUAUGGCAGACUUGCCGAGCCUGCUGAUCCCUAUGGAAAAGCAACCAUGUAUAGAGGCAUGCGUGGAUAAGCCCACAGCUGUAGCUCCCCUCUGGAGUCAGCUACUUGCAAGGUGAAAUGAGUUUUGUCAGUCAGACCUGCUGAAAUGUAUCAUGGUAAACAAUGUUGGCAAAAGCUACCUUCUAUAAAAAGCAAAUUUAGAAUCCUCCCUGCUGAUGUCUGAAGGCCCUGCACAGUGAGGCAGGUGUCUUACCUUUGGCUCCUUGCCUGUCUUGGUGGAGUGAAUGAAAUUAAGUAUUUCCUCCUGUGUUUAUUUUGCUAAUUUGUUCUUACUCUGUAUCCCAAGCUGGUCUCUCACUCAUAACCCUCCUACCUCAGCCUCCCAGACUGCUCCGGACUAAAGGUGUGCAUGGCCACACCAGCAGCUGAAUCCACAGGGACUCGCUGUUAUAGUGAAGCACCCUAAAGUACAUGUGGGACUCAGGCUGACCUGCUGGACGCCACUGCGUCCUGCAGAAUUGAUGAUCAAGUUUAUGAUCCUAGCCUCAGGUCAGACAAUCUGCCUUUUCCAGCUCUGACUUUGACUCCGCCUUCUUUGACUCUGUUUUUAUUUUGCCUUCUGGGCCUAGAAUUGUUAUCUUGAUUCUGAGCUACCAGAAUGCAGGACUAGAGCGUGUCUCCCUGUGGGAUCAGGGCUGUGUCCUCAGGUCUGAAUGAGCAAGUGUGCCUAACUUACCAGAGACAAUUUUGAGUCCGAGAAGUUGAGUAGUAAAAGAACAUAGGCAGCUAAUGAGAGUUAAAAAGGGAGGGAUACAAAGAAAACAAACAAUACAAUAUUUUUUCUGAAUACCUGCAGUAUAUUUAAUAUAGAACAUUUUUGUCAUAAGUGAAUUAUGGAGACAAGCCUUUCACAGCAAUGGUUUGAUGCCACUGGAAGGGCACAGCUGUAUUACUUGAAGAUGAACUUAAAAUGUAUUCAUAACAUGGAUUAUUCUAAAGCCAUUAAAAAGAAAGGCAGGCAUGGUAGAACAGGUCUGUAGUCACAGUACUUGGGAGGCUAAGACAGGAUGGCAGGUACAGCCCAGGGUGGACUGUGUAGUGAGUUUCAGAUUAGCCUGGUAUAUAGUAAGUUCCUCUGUCAAAAAAACGACUCUUCCAACCAAGCAAUAAACACUCACACACACACACCCUCACAUGUGUUCCUAUUCUACACAUAUGUGGUGUUGAUGU